rnacentral:rRNA from 1 species
AACGAACGCUGGCGGCAUGCCUAACACAUGCAAGUCGAACGAGAUCUUCGGGUCUAGUGGCGCACGGGUGCGUAACGCGUGGGAAUCUGCCCUUUGGUUCGGAAGAACAGUUGGAAACGACUGCUAAUACCGGAUGAUGACGAAAGUCCAAAGAUUUAUCGCCAGAGGAUGAGCCCGCGUAGGAUUAGCUAGUUGGGGGGGUAGAGGCGCACCAAGGCGACGAUCCUUAGCUGGUCUGAGAGGAUGAUCAGCCACACUGGGACGGAGACACGGCCCAGACUCCUACGGGAGGCAGCAGUGGGGAAUAUUGGACAAUGGGCGAAAGCCUGAUCCAGCAAUGCCGCGUGAGUGAUGAAGGCCUUAGGGUUGUAAAGCUCUUUUACCCGGGAUGAUAAUGACAGUACCGGGAGAAUAAGCUCCGGCUAACUCCGUGCCAGCAGCCGCCGUAA